GACGAACGCUGGCGGCGUGCCUAAUACAUGCAAGUCGAGCGCAGGAAGCCGACGGAACCCUUCGGGGGGAAGUCGACGGAAUGAGCGGCGGACGGGUGAGUAACGCGUAAAGAACCUGCCCUCAGGUCUGGGAUAACCACGAGAAAUCGGGGCUAAUACCGGAUGGGUCAUCGGACCGCAUGGUCCGAGGAUGAAAGGCGCUCCGGCGUCGCCUGGGGAUGGCUUUGCGGUGCAUUAGCUAGUUGGUGGGGUAAUGGCCCACCAAGGCGACGAUGCAUAGCCGACCUGGGAGGGUGAUCGGCCACACUGGGACUGAGACACGGCCCAGACUCCUACGGGAGGCAGCAGUAGGGAAUCUUCCACAAUGGACGAAAGUCUGAUGGAGCAACGCCGCGUGAACGAUGAAGGCCUUCGGGUCGUAAAGUUCUGUUGUAAGGGAAGAACAAGUGCCGCAGGCAAUGGCGGCACCUUGACGGUACCUUGCGAGAAAGCCACGGCUAACUACGUGCCAGCCGCCGCAGUAAGAC
rnacentral:rRNA from 1 species